GACGAACGCUGGCGGCGUGCCUAAUACAUGCAAGUUGAGCGCUGAAGGUUGGUACUUGUACCGACUGGAUGAGCAGCGAACGGGUGAGUAACGCGUGGGGAAUCUGCCUUUGAGCGGGGGACAACAUUUGGAAACGAAUGCUAAUACCGCAUAAAAACUUUAAACACAAGUUUUAAGUUUGAAAGAUGCAAUUGCAUCACUCAAAGAUGAUCCCGCGUUGUAUUAGCUAGUUGGUGAGGUAAAGGCUCACCAAGGCGAUGAUACAUAGCCGACCUGAGAGGGUGAUCGGCCACAUUGGGACUGAGACACGGCCCAAACUUCUACGGGAGGCAGCAGUAGGGAAUCUUCGGCAAUGGACGAAAGUCUGACCGAGCAACGCCGCGUGAGUGAAGAAGGUUUUCGGAUCGUAAAACUCUGUUGGUAGAGAAGAACGUUGGUGAGAGUGGAAAGCUCAUCAAGUGACGGUAACUACCCAGAAAGGGACGGCUAACUACGUG
rnacentral:rRNA from 1 species